rnacentral:lncRNA from 10 species
AUUCUCCAUCCCUGCAUUCCUCCAUCGCAGCAUCCCUGCAUGCCUCCGUUCUCUGCAUCCCUCCACCCCAGUAUCCCUGCACCUCUUCAUCCCUCCAUUCCUGCAUCCCUCUAUUUUUCCAUCCCUCCAUUCCUGUAUCCCUGUGCCCUCCAUCCUCCAUCCCAGCAUCCCUCCAUCCCUGCUCCCCACUCUCACUUCCCUUCCCUUCACAGACAGGCUUUUCCUGCCAUCCUCAGACCCCACCCAGGGUUACCUGAUGCCUUUCCAGCUGCACACGGGGACUGACUCACCUCUCUCUUUCUCAGUCCCAAAGUCCCGAAAGAGAGCAUCUGAUGUGGUCAGCUUGUGACAAGGCGUCCACCUUCUGUCCAUGACAUGGAGGCCAGGGGAAGGUCUCACUGCCCAGCACCCCACCCUGUGCUCCCAGGCCUUUUGAAUGUUCCUCCUGCUCAGCCCAGUGACUGCGGGCUGUGGCUCCUCCUCCAGCCUCCCCUCGAGGUCCUGGUCUUACUUAGGAGGCCCCGGGUGUAGAUGCCUUCCCACCCACCAGGCAUUGCCCCUUUUCCUGGCUUCACAGACUCGGGAAUAAAGUUUCCUUCUGUUUCCCCUCUUGCAGAAGGAGAUCCGGUUGGCAGCUAAACCGCGCUGGGAACAGGGGCCUGAGUCCUGGACUAGGGCUCUUUCCCCGGGGCUGCUGCAGAUGGGGAGGAGCCUACACCCGCCUCCCGAGUGCUAAUCAGACCUGACAGGCUGGAGAAUGGCCAGUCAGCCUGAGGCCACCGCGGGACACCACCUAGGCCCAGCUUCUCCCCCCACCAGAGGGCGCCAGAGCCCGCCAAGCCUCGUAGGAGAUGGCAACAGGGCCUGCUGCUGCCACCUAGCGGCCAAUUCCGGGAAUGAAUCUCGGCACGCUCAUUACCCAGCGACUCUGCCCAUCUUGACCCUUUAUGUGAAGCAGAACAGCCGCUUCCGCAGUGAGCUGUCAGAAGGCGUCGUGCCUGUCUUGCUAGUGGGGAAACUGAGGCUCAGAGAGGCAGAAGACUUGCCCAAGAUCACACCACCGGGACCCAGGAUUCAAGCGCAGGCCUGCCCAGGCUCUCUGUGGCCUCCUGGCUGCGAGGAGGCAGCCAGGGACCAGGUGCCACCCUUCUGAGACACCUGAGAUCCCAGGCCCGAGAGGAUGAAGGCGGGAUUACCUGGAGCGUGUCUGAAUGCUGGAGGAAGAAGGGCAGCUGGGAGAUGAAGCUGUCAGGAUGGGCCGCAUCCCAUUUCCUGCCUCGUUUCAGUUCAACUUUCCAACAGACCUCCCUGGCUCGUCUUGCUCUUCUCUAAUGGACAAACAAACAGGCUCAGAGAGGUGGUGUGACUUGCCCAAGGUCACUCAGCUUGGAUGCUAUGGAACAGGGACGUCCACUGUCCCAGUCUGUUUAUGGGAAGCCGCUCUGCAACUGUCCUGACCCACCACAUGCCCCACCGCUGUUUCUCUUGCCCUGACCCCUUGUUCCCUGGACCAGGGUGGCACAGCUCCAGGCUCUUGGGCCCUUCCCGAGGGCAGGCACCUGUGACUGUGUCCCCAAAGACCUGAGUGGCUGAGGGGGCCCCACAGAGCUUGGACUUCCUGGAGGACAAGGAGGGGUCUGCCAGCCACCCCCACCACGCCCGCCCCAGGGCUCCCCUGGAGCUUCCAUGCCAGCCGGACUCAGGUGGGUCUGGAGGAGCACCGUGCCUCCAAUCAGACCUUGAGAUGUGCCCCCUGCCCCCACUGUGCCCUCCCCUGCCCAGGAGUCUGGUUGCAAACCCUGAUUAAGGGGAUUUUAUCUCCACCAGAGGGCCAGUAGGUGGGAAGUAGCUUAAACAAUGCAGGUUUAUAAUCUCACAGUUCUGGAGGUCAAGAGUCUGAAAUGGGCCUCAUGGGGCUAAAACCAAGGUGUCUGCAGGGCUGUGUUCCUUCUGGAGGCUCCAGGGCAGGAAGGGGAGGAUCCACUUCUGUGCCUUUCCAGCUUCUAGAGGCUGCCUGCGUUCCUUGGCUCGUGGCCCCUUCCUCCACCUUCAAGCCAGCAGCGGAGGCCUGAGUCCUUCUCAUGCCAUCUCUCUGUUCUCUCUCCUGCCUCCUCCUCCACACUGAAGGACCCCUGUGAUCACACUGGCCCCCCCACCGGAUGACCCAGGAUAAUCCAUCUCCCUGUUUGAAGGUCGGCUGAUUAGCAACCUUCAUUCCAUCUGCCUCCUUCAUUCCCCCUGGCCAUGUAAUGGGAUUCACAGCUUCUGGGGAUUAGGACAUGGACAUCUUGUGGCGGGGGCAUAAUUCUGUCGACGACACCAAGAAACACUUGGAUGUUAAGGAUUCACCGAACACUGUUCAGGCUGAGGCAGGAGAAUUGCUUGAACCUGGGAGGCAGAGGUUGCAGUGAGCCGAGAUCAUACCAUUGCACUCCAGCCUGGGCAACAAGAGUGAACCUCCAUCACAAAAAACAAACAACAAAAAAAAUCAGGUAUAAUUACAUACAGUGAAACAUAUGGUGACUCAAGUACACAGUUCAGUGUUUUUUUUGUUUUUGUUUUUUUUUAAGAUGGACUCUUGCUCUGUCGCCCAGGCUGGAGUUCAGUGGCGCGAUCUUGGCUCACUGCAACCUCUGUCUUCCAGGUUCAAGCAAUUCUGCCUCAGCCUCCCAAGUAGCUGGGACUACAAGUGCACGCCACCAUGCCUGGCUAAUUUUUGUAUUUUUAAUAGAGAUGGGGUUUUUUUUUCUUUCUUUUUUUUUUUUUUUGAGACAGGGUCUCACUCUGUCACCCAGGCUGGAGUGCAGUGUCACAAUCUCGGCUCACUGCAACCUCUGCCUCUUGGGUUCAAGCAAUUCUUCUGCCUCAGCCUCCUGAGUAGCUGGUAGCUGGGACUAUAGGCACGUGCCACCACACCCAGUUAAUUUUUUGUAUUUUUAGUAGAGAUGGGGUUUCACCGGGUUAGCCAGGAUGGUCUCAAUCUCUUGACCUCGUGAUCUGCCCGUUUUGGUCUCCCAAAGUGAUGGGAUUACAGGCGUGAGCCACCGCGCCAGGCUGAGAUGGGGUUUCACCACGUUGGCCAGGCUGGUCUGGAACUCCUGACCUCAGGUGAUCCGCCUGCCUUGGACUCCCAAAGUGCUGGGAUUACAGACGUGAGCCACCGUGCCCGGCCAGUUCUAUGAGUUUUGAUGAAUGUGUCCUGCUUCUUCCCAGGCUCCACCAUCUCUUCCCCUAAAGGCAACCACCAUUCUGAUUUCUCUCACCAAAGACUGGAAAAAUAUCCCAAUACCUGGAUGUAUGCCUCACGUGUCCCGCUGGCCCCAGCACCCAGGUAUAGUUAGUUACUGCUGUGCCUGGCUUCACUCUCACUUUUUUUUUUUUUUUCUUUUUUUGAGACAUAGUCUCGCUCUGUAGCCCAGGCUGGAGUGCAGUGUGGCACAAUCUCAGCUCACUGCAACCUUCACCUCCCAGGUUCAAGCGAUUCUCCUGCCUCAGCCUCUCGAGUAGCUGCGACUACAGGUGCCCACCACCACACCUGGCUAAUUUUUGUAUUUUUAGUAGAGAUGGGGUUUCACCUUGUUGGCCAGGCUGGUCUCGAACUCCUGACCUCAAGUGAUCCACCUGCCUCAGCCUCCCAAGGUGCUGGGAUUGCAGGCCGGCCUUACCUGGUAUGGUUUUUAGGUUCAUGUUGAUGCCUGGAGUUUCAGUAAUUCCCUCCCAUUCGUUGCUGAGUAGCACUGCAACACAUGCAGGCAGCUAUUUGGGGAUCUUUUCACCUGUUGAUGGGUGUCUGGACUGUUUCCAGUUUUUGGCUGUUACAAAUGAAGCCUCUGUGAGCCACG